CCCUCCUCUGGACCCUUCCCAAAAUCUCCAUGUCUUUUUAGUACUGAGGGCUCCACACCUGGACACAGUACAACAGAACCCAUGGCUCAUAACCGGACCGCAGUGACACCGAAUAACACCGGUGGAUCCCCCAUGAUCGGGGCAGUCCCGGGGGCGGAGCGCAGCGCACCUCGCCCCUGACCCACUAACACACCUCCCCGCCAACAUGGCCGCCCCACCAGCCGGAGCCGAGCGCACCCUAACCCGCCCGCCGUCCCGCCCCGCCCUCCCCGCACGCUUAUUGGCUCGCGCUUCAAACACUCUCAUUCCCAUUGGCCGCCGCUCGUGUCACUCACUGGCCCAGCGGCCCUUUCAAGCUCGGUUGAGGCGACAUGUAAACAAACCCGGUUCCCCUCAGCCCCGCUCCUUCAGGCCGCACGUUCUCGCUCCGUCUCCCCUCGGGGCGCCGCCGAUCCUUCCUACCCCGGCCUCAGAGCACGGCAGCGCCGCUCCGCGCUCCCUUUGCCCCGCUGCCCUCCGAGGAGCCGGGGCUGCUCACCCCGGGUCUCGCUGCCCUCAGCCCAUGAGGCAGAGCCCCGUUCAGGUCGGGCCGCUCCACGAUAAACCUCCUCGACACCCCCGUUGGUUACAUAAAUCCCGCGGCCGAGCAGGGGGGUCCCGCCCCGCCUCCCCCCGCAGCCGGACAACACCGCCCCGAAGUAGCGGAGAGCCGACAGGGCGAGCCGACACGUGAAGGAGGAGGGAAAGCGGCCACCAGCCCAAAGGAACAGCCGGGUCCGGCCGCGAGCAGCGCUCGGAGCCGGGCGGUGAAAACAAGAGCUCACGGCAGGAGCCGAUCUGAGCAGCGAGGAAGCGAUCGCCUGGAACCUAAAGGUUACAAAGGCAGUGUUACCAAUAGCACCUCUCAUCAAUGGCUGCUUUGCUUUCGGGUUUGUCUCACCUGACUUUACAUCUGACAGCAGAUACAUGGACUUAAAGACUCCCUAACAACAUCUUGAUGUCACAAAGGGAUGGAAGGAAGGAGAAAUGCUUCAGUGUAUCUUAUCACCCACCCCACACAAUGGAAAGGCACCUCUGUUUCCUUAGGAUCACUCUGGUUCCCAUUUCCUUAGGGAUUCUUUGUCACAAACUACGUGGCACAGUGGAGUACAGCUCCUCGCCUGUUAAAAUACAGCUUUCAAUACAAGCUAACCAACUUGGGGAACAAAUAAUCCCCAUCCCAGUGCUGACAGCCAUCCCACUUACUUCCACUACCAAGUGUUAGUGCUCCUGCAGUGCACGCUGCCUGUUUCUGAUUACCACGUGUACUGCCCUUUUGUAAGGAUUUCUGAAUUUCCUGUACGGUAAUGAAUACCAUCCCAGCAAACAAGUUAACGGCAUAUUCAGAAGGAAAAAAUGCUCCGUCCCUGUGUGUGACAAUAAAACAAAGCAAGGCAAAACUGCUGGGUAUCUGGACUUGAUUUAAGGAGGUAAGAAAGAUGUGUAGACUGCCAUGAAUGGAAGCAGGCUUUGUAUUUCUGAAGCCCUCCAUCCACAUGCCCCCCAUCCCAUAUACAUGUGUGACUCCAUCUAACAACACUGCUGUGACUUCUGCUCACUCCACGCUGCUUAUUACUAUAUGUGACCCCCAAGAAGGCCAGGGAGUAAAUCCCCCUGCACAGCAGCCUGCUCCCCCUGCAAGGCUGCAGCCCCCAGCUGAACCCCCAGCUGAACCCCCAGCUCACUGCUGCACAGCUCAAACAACACGAGAGUUAAACACGGCACCCAGAGCAAUCCAUAUAAAGCAGAAGAUUUCUUUUAUUUCCCGGUAUGAGAAAUUUAAGACCACAUUUCCCAAAACCACAACUCCUUUUAAAAAAUAAAUGCCAUCAACAUGUGGCAGCAUUGGUUCUCUCUCCUCAUACGGUUUCGUUUCCUCUAAAGACGUUUCAAGUGCAAACAGAACAGGAAUGAACAGCUACAAACCUCUGAGAUACAGCAUUGCUACGAAGCAAGUAAAGUGCACAGGGAAGCUGGCAACGUCCCUGUAAAGGCUUUAAUCAUACCUGAAGUUAACAGAUAAAAAUGCACAGUACUAAAGAGGAGUUAGAUUAGGCACAUUGUUAGGAGGUAAAGUAGGAAAAAUAGA